rnacentral:rRNA from 1 species
CAGUCGCCGCGGGAAUACGAAGGGUGCAAGCGUUACUCGGAAUUACUGGGCGUAAAGCGUGCGUAGGUGGUGGUUUAAGUCCGUUGUGAAAGCCCUGGGCUCAACCUGGGAAUUGCAGUGGAUACUGGGUCACUAGAGUGUGGUAGAGGAUAGUGGAAUUUCCGGUGUAGCAGUGAAAUGCGUAGAGAUCGGGAGGAACAUCUGUGGCGAAGGCGACUAUCUGGGCCAACACUGACACUGAGGCACGAAAGCGUGGGGAGCAAACAGGAUUAGAUACCCCUGUAGUCCCUGUCUCUUAUAC